UCGAGAACUAUAUGUAUACAGUAAUUAAGAACCGAAUCCAUCUUUUCCCCCUCUUAUCUUAUUUCAUUUCAUUCCCCCAAAUUCCACUCGAAUUGAGACCCUUUUUGAUACCACUCUCAUAACCUAAAUUCAGUCGGCUACCAUCACCAUUCAACAUCGCAGGUUUUUUCCUUUCUUUCGAGUUAGAUUCCGGCCGCCCCCACCCCUAAAAUUGUCGAUUCCGCCCACUCCCAUCCACAAUAUCGGGAGAUUCAAAGGGUUAUGAACAAAAACCGAAGGAGAUCUGUGUUCCAACAUCAUCGAUUCCAACCAUUAAGGUUCUUCAUCACAUGAUCGCAUCCAGGUUUUCAUUUUGAAAGUUUUGAUUUUUAAUAAAGGGUUGAAUUUGUAUAUUGCAGCCAUUGUCGAAACCCCUAUAAAAAGUGCAGAUAAAGAGGUUCACCAAGUUUGCCAUUUCUAAUCAACAUCUCAAUAAAGUUCAAUUCAUAUUUCCUUUGAUGAAAGGUACUGGUUAACAAAUCCAUGAGGAGAUGAAAAAAGAGAUUUAGAGGGAUCAUUAAGAAAGUGAGGUCAAAAAACAAUAAAUUGGCAGGAUGUAUAACAAAAUCAUAAAGCCAAGAAAACAACCCACCCAUCAAAUUUGACUUUGAUAUUUUUAGUUUUAUUUUGUUAAAUUUAUUACUUUGAAAUCAAAUAUGAUUCUUCAUUUUGCUAGGAGAAUAUUAUGUUAGAAAUA